rnacentral:rRNA from 1 species
AGAUUGAACGCUAGCGGGAUGCUUUACACAUGCAAGUCGAACGGCAGCGCGGACUUCGGUCUGGCGGCGAGUGGCGAACGGGUGAGUAAUAUAUCGGAACGUGCCCAGUAGCGGGGGAUAACUACGCGAAAGCGUGGCUAAUACCGCAUACGCCCUACGGGGGAAAGGGGGGGAUCGCAAGACCUCUCACUAUUGGAGCGGCCGAUAUCAGAUUAGCUAGUUGGUGAGGUAAAGGCUCACCAAGGCGACGAUCUGUAGCUGGUUUGAGAGGACGACCAGCCACACUGGGACUGAGACACGGCCCAGACUCCUACGGGAGGCAGCAGUGGGGAAUUUGGACAAUGGGGGAACCUGAUCCAGCCAUCCCGCGUGUGCGAUGAAGGCCUGGUUGUAAGCACUUUGCUAGGAAGAACGCGUGCCGUAAUACGGACGCACUGACGGUACC